CUGAAGCCCAGAAUCCCAAAUUCUUCUACUCAUUCUUAUGUGGAAGAACAUGAGAAGUAGGUAAUGCACAAGUACAACAUGCCCCAAAGAACACUGCUCCUGUGAGUAACUCAACAAACCUUAAGAUGACCCUGGAUGUUUUGAGAGUAUGACUUGUGCACUUAAACCAUGACUCAUCAUGGCUUGCAGUCACACCCAAGCACAGGACAAGCUGAUGACUGGCCAGCCGCUGGAGAACAAGAGGAAAUCUCGAUAAGACACAACAGAUGAGUGAAGAUUGGCUCACUCUUCUUACUGGAUCAGUGCAGUGACAAACAAACCAGCAAGCACUCUGAUUUCUCGGUUGAGACUCCAGCUUGUGAGGAAAUAGUGAAUUCUUCAGUCUGUGUAUGAGAAGCAAGCCAUUAUGCCAUAAUGUAAUUCCCUGUUGUGUGGGAAGUCAGCAUUGCAUCAUCCCUAGCACUGGGAACAAGAGAUACGACCCCUUCUUGAUGGGUGCAAUCCAAGCUUUGGUAGUCAACCUUCACAUCAAAGUGUUAUUGAAGAAGACUGAUUACAGAAAUAGAGACAAAGAAAUACUAAGAAAAUGCACCUUACAAAUCUGAACCUAAAAGAUGUAAAAAUGAUCCAAGAAAAAGUGAAGUCUUCCUCUGAAAUGCAGCCACUCUCCUCUUAAAGAAACCUCAGCAUUCAGAAUCAUCUCUUCAGCUUGCAAACUAAUAAAGUAGCAAGAAUGUUUCAUCUGUUAUCAGUUUUAAUAAUGCCUUUUGAAAAAAAGUUAUUGAAAAGUUCUAGUUUGUUGUGAAAAUGAAACUGUUUGGUUCACUGGGCAGGGGUGGAAUCAGUCCUAGAACCCUCAGUCCUCUGACCUGUGUUAAUUUCUAACUUGCUUGCCAACGAAAGCAAAUAAAAUAAUUUCAUUGUAAUGAUAAUAA